rnacentral:rRNA from 1 species
AUUGAACGCUGGCGGGAUGCCUUACACAUGCAAGUCGAACGGAGUGGCGAACGGGUGAGUAAUGUAUCGGAACGUGCCCAGUAGCGGGGGAUAACUACGCGAAAGCGUAGCUAAUACCGCAUACUAUUGGAGCGGCCGAUAUCGGAUGAGCUAGUUGGUGUGGGAACGGCUCACCAAGGCGAAGAGCCGGAGCUGGUUGGAGAGGCAGAACAGCCACACUGGUAAUGAGAAACGGCCCAGACUGCUACGUGAGGCAGCAGUGGGGAAGUUUGGACAAUGGGGGCAACCCUGAUCCAGCCAGCCCGCGUGUGUGAUGAAGGCCUUCGGGUUGUAAAGCACUUUUGGCAGGAAAGCGGUACCUGCAGAAUAAGCACCGGCUAACUACGUGCCAGCAGCCGCGGUAAUUC